CUCCAAGGGGACCUCGUCGUGGGCAGCGGCCAUCGUCGAUCUCGCCGCCCCUAGGGCCCUCCAUGCCGGUGCACGAGGCCGGGGUUGUUGGCCUGCAGAAUGCGGAGGCCAGACGACGGCGUGGUGGAGGACCAGCUUCGAGCUCCCUGAAGGCGAGGGCGAGCUGGAAGCCGCCGAGGCGUAGGCUGCGCAACCUCGCUGGCGGGCAGACGUGCAACAGCGUGAUGUAGUCACUGGCGCGGAUGAAGUUUUGGAUGGCCCACUGCAGCGUGCCGCCAUCGCCGAUGGCAGCGACUGAUGGCGGCGUCGUCGAGAUGUGAUGAUGGCCGUAGCCGCGCGCCGCCCUGAACCCGCGCGCCGCCACCCGGGAGCCGCCGUCGCCGGCCGCGCGCGCCGUCGCCUGUGCGAGAGCAGAGAGCGAGAGGGAGGAAAGGAGAAGAGAAAAAAAAAAAAGAGAAGAGAGGAAAGAGAGCAGGAGCUGACAGGGACACCCUGCCAUGUGGGGUCCACGUGGGUCUCACGCUGACUCAGCCGUCACGUGAGACAAAACCGGGUCAAAACAAGUUAGGGGAUGUGUUGUAUCGGUUUUAUGGUUGGGGGACGAUUUUGUAACUCGGUGACAAGUUGAGGGACCUUCGGUGUA